rnacentral:piRNA from 1 species
UAUAUGCCCGACCUAGAACUUGCAGAAC